rnacentral:rRNA from 1 species
CCUACGGGAGGCAGCAGUGAGGAAUAUUGGUCAAUGGGCGCGAGCCUGAACCAGCCAAGUCGCGUGAGGGAUGACGGUCCUACGGAUUGUAAACCUCUUUUGCCGGGGAGCAAGCGUGCGUGCGUGAACGCGCGUCGAGAGUACCCGGAGAAAAAGCAUCGGCUCACUCCGGGCCAGCAGCCGCGGUAAUACGGAGGAUGCGAGCGUUAUCCGGAUUUAGUGGGCUAAAAGGGAGCGUAGGCGGGCGUUCAAGUCAGCUGUAAAAGCGCGCGGCUCAACCGCGCCCCGCAUUUGAAACUGGACGCCUUGAGUACACAACAGGCAGGCGGAAUUCGUGGUGUAGCGGUGAAAUGCAUAGAUAUCACGAGGAACCCCGAUUGCGAAGGCAGCCUGCCGGGGUGCGACUGACGCUGAGGCUCGAAGGUGCGGGUAUCAAACAGGAUUAGAUAUCCCUGUAGUC